AUGAACGCUGGCGGCGUGCCUAAUACAUGCAAGUCGAGCGAACGGACGAGAAGCUUGCUUUUCUGAUGUUAGCGGCGGACGGGUGAGUAACACGUGGAUAACCUACCUAUAAGACUGGGAUAACUUCGGGAAACCGGAGCUAAUACCGGAUAAUAUUUUGAACCGCAUGGUUCAAAAGUGAAAGACGGUCUUGCUGUCACUUAUAGAUGGAUCCGCGCUGCAUUAGCUAGUUGGUAAGGUAACGGCUUACCAAGGCAACGAUGCAUAGCCGACCUGAGAGGGGAGACGCCCCACGUGAACAGGAGAACGGGCCCGACCCCCAAGGGGAGGACGAGGUGGGGAAUCUUCCGCAAGGGGGGAAAGCCUGACGGGGAAACGCCGGGGGGGUAAAAAAGUGUUUGGGAUCGAAAAACUGUGUUAUUGGGAAAAAAAAUAUGGUUAAGUAACUGGGCACAUUUGGAGGGUACCUAAUAAGAAAGCCCGGGCUAACUACGG
rnacentral:rRNA from 1 species